rnacentral:rRNA from 1 species
UACAGAGGUCUCAACCGUUGUUCGGAUUCAUUGGGCGUAAAGGGUGCGUAGGCGGUCGGGUAAGUCGGAUGUGAAAUCUCAGGGCUCAACCCUGAAACUGCAUUCGAUACUGCUUGGCUAGGGUACUGGAGAGGAGACGUGGAAUUUACGGUGUAGCAGUGAAAUGCGUAGAUAUCGUAAGGAAGACCAGUGGCGAAGGCGAGUCUCUGGACAGUUACCGACGCUGAGGCACGAAGGUCAGGGGAGCAAACGGG